AUGAACGCUGGCGGCGUGCCUAAUACAUGCAAGUCGAGCGAACAGAUGAGGAGCUUGCUGCUCUGACGUUAGCGGCGGACGGGUGAGUAACACGUGGAUAACCUACCUAUAAGACUGGGAUAACUUCGGGAAACCGGAGCUAAUACCGGAUAAUAUAUUGAACCGCAUGGUUCAAUAGUGAAAGACGGUUUUGCUGUCACUUAUAGAUGGAUCCGCGCCGCAUUAGCUAGUUGGUAAGGUAACGGCUUACCAAGGCAACGAUGCGUAGCCGACCUGAGAGGGUGAUCGGCCACACUGGAACUGAGACACGGUCCAGACUCCUACGGGAGGCAGCAGUAGGGAAUCUUCCGCAAUGGGCGAAAGCCUGACGGAGCAACGCCGCGUGAGUGAUGAAGGUCUUCGGAUCGUAAAACUCUGUUAUUAGGGAAGAACAAAUGUGUAAGUAACUAUGCACGUCUUGACGGUACCUAAUCAGAAAGCCACGGCUAACUACGUG
rnacentral:rRNA from 1 species